AAGCCAGACUCCUACGGGAGGCAGCAGUGGGGAAUAUUGCACAAUGGGGGAAACCCUGAUGCAGCGACGCCGCGUGAGCGAUGAAGUAUUUCGGUCUGUAAAGCUCUAUCAGCAGGGAAGAAAAUGACGGUACCUGACUAAGAAGCCCCGGCUAACUACGUGCCAGCAGCCGCGGUAAUACGUAGGGGGCAAGCGUUAUCCGGAUUUACUGGGUGUAAAGGGAGCGUAGACGGUCCUGCAAGCCAGAUGUGAAAGCCCGGGGCUCAACCCCGGGACUGCAUUUGGAACUGCGUGGCUGGAGUGCAGGAGGGGCAGGCGGAAUUCCUGGUGUAGCGGUGAAAUGCGUAGAUAUCAGGAGGAACACCGGUGGCGAAGGCGGCCUGCUGGACUGCAACUGACGUUGAGGCCCGAAAGCGUGGGGAGCAAACAGGAUUAGAUACCCCCGUA
rnacentral:rRNA from 1 species